rnacentral:rRNA from 1 species
GUGGGGAAUAUUGGACAAUGGGCGCAAGCCUGAUCCAGCCAUGCCGCGUGAGUGAUGAAGGCCCUAGGGUUGUAAAGCUCUUUCAGUGGGGACGAUAAUGACGGUACCCACAGAAGAAGCCCCGGCUAACUUCGUGCCAGCAGCCGCGGUAAUACGAAGGGGGCUAGCGUUGUUCGGAUUUACUGGGCGUAAAGCGCACGUAGGCGGAAUGUUAAGUCAGAGGUGAAAUCCUGGAGCUCAACUCCAGAACUGCCUUUGAUACUGGCAAUCUCGAGUCCGGAAGAGGUGAGUGGAACUCCUAGUGUAGAGGUGGAAUUCGUAGAUAUUAGGAAGAACACCAGUGGCGAAGGCGGCUCACUGGUCCGGUACUGACGCUGAGGUGCGAAAGCGUGGGGAGCAAACAGGAUUAGAAACCCGAGUAGUCC